CGACCUCAGAUCAGACGAGAUUACCCGCUAAAUUUAAGCAUAUCAAUAAGCGGUGGAAAAGAAACGAAAACGAAUUCUCCAAGUAGCGGCGAGCGAAACGAGAAAAGUCCAUACACCGAAGUCGGCGAGCAGUGCUGUUCGUCAACAGUGUGGUGUUAAAGGUGUCGUUGCAUGUGCUGAGAUCAGUUCGUAGGCUCCCUUGAUUGGGGCUUCAGAGCGGGUGCAGGACCCAUAACGAACGGUCUUUUGUGCAUGGUGUCGCGGCGCUUUGUCGAGUCGGGUUGCUUGAGACUGCAGCCCAAAGCGGGUGGUAAAUCUCACCCAAGACUAAAUAUUCGUACGAGACCGAUAGCGAACAAGUACCGCGAGGGAAAGUUGAAAAGAACUCUGAAGAGAGAGUUCAACAGGACGUGAAACCGUUGACAGGCAAACGGAUGGAGCUGACGGUGGAAAUUUGACCAAAAUCAGUCGUUGCUUGGUUUGUUGGCAAAUGAGUCUUUUGUGAACUUCUGUUUGUGGAGACGGGCGUUUGUUUCGAAUCAACGCACGGUGCACUUUUGGUCAAUCAGCGUCACGAGCAACGUUCGAUUUCUUUGUGCUGCUGACAGUGCUGCUGUUUGUUGCUCUUCAAAAAGCAACAAGCAAUGAAGGCGGCGUCUUUUUUUGGAAGAGGUAGUGAAUUGAGAAUGCGCUUGUUUUUUGGAGUGCUUUUUCGCAUUGCCGUGCCAAUGCCGCAGCUGUCGGAUGAAUGUUGUCAUUGCAAAAUUGAAAAGCAUCGUUUCGCGUUGUGUUGCAUUGGGUCCGUUGGUGCCGUUGCGUUCGUGUGUUUCGGCGCACGAUUGAACUGGUUAGUUGGGAAAAAAGUCAAUUAUUCAUCAUAAUUGAUCUGACUGCCGUGCGUAACGGUAUUCUCUCAUUGGUGUGAUGGACUUUAUUUGUGGCCAACGCUCGGUGUGUUUUUUCAUCUGUGGCGUCAAUGUUAGCCUCCCAUCCGACCCGUCUUGAAACACGGACCAAGGAGUUCAGUAGGCACGCGAGUCGUUGACGUUGUGCAUUGAACAGUCGAAGGCGUAAUGAAAGUAAGAAAAAAGUGAACGGUGCUUUUUUUGGGUGCCGUUUGCUUUUCAACAUGAUCGUCCUGUUGUGUUUUGUUUGGGUGUGUUGCUUGAUUGUUUUGUAACUUGCGCCGCCCUUCUUAAUAUUUUGGACGCGCAGUGUUGUGCCGUUGAACAGUCGAAGGCGUAAUGAAAGUAAGAAAAAAGUGAACGGUGCUUUUUUUGGGUGCCGUUUGCUUUUCAACAUGAUCGUCCUGUUGUGUUUUGUUUGGGUGUGUUGCUUGAUUGUUUUGUAACUUGCGCCGCCCUUCUUAAUAUUUUGGACGCGCAGUGUUGUGCCGUUGAACAGUCGCACUGUUUCUCCAUCUCUCACGGGUUGGAGAAACAAUUGUCGAUCAGUCGGUUUCGGAGCGUGCACACUGGUACCCGAAAGAUGGUGAACUAUGCUUGAGCAGAAUGAAGCCAGAGGAAACUCUGGUGGAAGUUCGUAGCGGUGUUGACGUGCAAAUCACUCGUCUGACUUGAGUGUAGGGGCGAAAGACUAAUCGAACCAUCUAGUUGCUGGUUCCUUCCGAAGUUUCCCUCAGGAUAGCUGGCAUUUGUGUGUAACAAUUUUAUCCGGUAGAGCGAAUGAUUAGAGGUGUUGGGAACGCAAUGUUCUCAGCCUAUUCUCAAACUUCGAAUGGGUAAGCAAGGCGAUUUGCUUUGAUCAUCUGUUGAUGAAAUCGCCCAACUUUUUUGUGUUGAAGAAUGUAUAAAUGCCUAGUGGGCCAAUUUUGGUAAGCAGAACUGGCGAUGUGGAAUGAACCAAAAGUCAGGUUAAGGUGCCAGACAUUGGCGCUCAUGAAAUACCAGAAAAGGUGUUGGUCGAUAUAGACAGCAGGACGGUGGCCAUGGAAGUUGGAAUCCGCCAAGGAGUGUGUAACAACUCACCUGCCGAAUCGACUAGCCCUGAAAAUGGAUAGCGUUUGAGCGCCAGGCCCAUACCUGACCGUCUCAGUUACGCACUUUUGUUGUUUCAAUGAUGAAGGUGUAAUGAACGUUGAGACGGGUAGGAAGGUCGCGACAGUGUUGCUUUGAAGAGUUUUGAGCGUGAGCUCGCUCGGAGCCGCUGUUGGUGCAGAUCUUGGUGGUAGUAGCAAAUAUUCAAGUGAGAACCUUGAAGGCUGAAGUGGAGCAAGGUUCCAUGUGAACAGCAGUUGGACAUGGGUCAGUCGAUCCUAAGAAAACGGCGAAAGCUUGUUCGAAUUUACGACAUAAAAUGUAAAACUGUGUGUUGUGUAGUGUGCUUGUGUGUGUACUACUAUACUGAUAUAGCAGCAGUAGUGGUGGUGGUGGUGGUUUGUCAGUCAGCAGUGUAGUGUUUGUCUGUGGCAGUGCUGCUGCUGCUGCUGCUGCUGCUAUUGUUGUGCGGGUGCUUUUUACUUGCUGUUGUUGUGUGUUGU
rnacentral:rRNA from 1 species